rnacentral:rRNA from 1 species
UACGAGUGCUCCAAGCGUUAUCCGGAAUUAUUGGGCGUAAAGGGUGUGUAGGCGGUCAUGUUAGUCUUCUGUUAAAUUCUUCGGCUUAACCGGGGGUCUGCAGGGGAAACGGCAUGACUUGAGGAUGCGAGAGGUGAAUGGAACUCAUGGAGUAGGGGUGAAAUCCGUUGAUAUCAUGGGGAACACCAAAUGCGAAGGCAGUUCACUGGCGCACUCCUGACGCUGAAACACGAAAGCGUAGGUAGCGAAUGGG